UACAGAGGGUGCAAGCGUUGUUCGGAAUUAUUGGGCGUAAAGCGCGUGUAGGCGGCUUUGCAAGUCGGGUGUGAAUCCCUCAGCUCAACUGAGGAAGUGCGCCCGAAACUGCAGAGCUUGAGUACCGGAGAGGAUGGCGGAAUUCCCCAAGUAGAGGUGAAAUUCGUAGAUAUGGGAGGAACACCGGUGGCGAAGGCGGCCGUCUGGACGGAUACGUGACGCUGAGACGCGAAAGCGUGGGGAGCAACGGG
rnacentral:rRNA from 1 species